AUACGUAGGGUGCAAGCGUUAAUCGGAAUUACUGGGCGUAAAGCGUGCGCAGGCGGUUUUGUAAGACAGUGGUGAAAUCCCCGGGCUCAACCUGGGAACUGCCAUUGUGACUGCAAGGCUGGAGGGCGGCAGAGGGGGGUGGAAUUCCGCGUGUAGCAGUGAAAUGCGUAGAUAUGCGGAGGAACACCGAUGGCGAAGGCAAUCCCCUGGGCCUGCACUGACGCUCAUGCACGAAAGCGUGGGGAGCAAACAGGAUUAGAUACCCUGGUAGUCCACGCCCUAAACGAUGUCAACUGGUUGUUGGGGAUUUAUUUUCUCAGUAACGAAGCUAACGCGUGAAGUUGACCGCCUGGGGAGUACGGCCGCAAGGUUAAAACUCAAAUGAAUCGACGGGG
rnacentral:rRNA from 1 species